CGGCCUUGCAUCUUCACAUCCCGAUUCACAGAAACCACUCGCAGCCAAUCUCUCGUUCUCCCACUACUAACCCUAGCCGCCGCCUGCUGCUUGCCUCGAUGCGCGCCGCACGCCCCUGUACGAAGACCGGUGCCCGAGCGGCGGCCCUGGCCGGUGAAGACCGGCGCCUGAGUGGCGGCCUUGGCAGGUGAAGACGGGCGCCGCUAGCGGCGGCCCUGAGCCCCUGACCGUGAAGACUGUCGCCCUGCGCCGCCACCAACCCCAAUCUCCCAUCGGUCGCUCCACCGCCUACGACGCGGCCGUCCGCCGCAGAUGCUCCACCUCCUGACGACCAGUACAACCACUGCAGUUCGUCACUACUCACCACUACCCGUCCUCUUCCACACGGUUCGUCCGCCGUCGGUGCUCCACCUCCCGACGACCUGCCCACUUUCGGUUCUCCACAUCGCAGCUGAAGAUGUUUUCUGAACAUGAUGAGGAACUGAAUGAGAAUGAAGAUGCAUUUAUGAGUGUAGAGGUAGAUGUAGGAGCAGCAGCUGCAGAAGCAGGAGACGAAUCCGUCUUACAUAGUAGUAUUAUUGACGAUGAAGUUGCCGAACAAACAGUUGUCGAAGGUGCCAAUCUAGAAGCUGCUCAAGAUGGCAAGCCAAUUGAAGCUGAAUCAUGAAUCUUCUUACUUUGUGUCAUAUGAAUCUUGUUACUUGCUCUUGAAUGUAAACAUGUACUGGUACUUUGUUACUUGCUGUUGCAUAUAAACAUGUAUUGGUACUUUCUGCUCUCAAAUAUAAACAUGUAUUGGUACUGGAAGUAA